GAUGAACGCUGGCGGCGUGCCUAAUACAUGCAAGUCGAGCGAACGGACGAGAAGCUUGCUUCUCUGAUGUUAGCGGCGGACGGGUGAGUAACACGUGGAUAACCUACCUAUAAGACUGGGAUAACUUCGGGAAACCGGAGCUAAUACCGGAUAAUAUUUUGAACCGCAUGGUUCAAAAGUGAAAGACGGUCUUGCUGUCACUUAUAGAUGGAUCCGCGCUGCAUUAGCUAGUUGGUAAGGUAACGGCUUACCAAGGCAACGAUGCAUAGCCGACCUGAGAGGAUGAUCGGCCACACUGGAACUGAGACACGGUCCAGACUCCUACGGGAGGCAGCAGUGGGGAAUCUUCCGCAAUGGGCGAAAGCCUGAUGGAGCCACGCCGCGUGAGUGAUGAAGGUCUUCGGAUCGUAAAACUCUGUUAUUAGGGAAGAACAGAUGUGUAAGUAACUGUGCACAUCUUGACGGUACCUAAUGAGAAAGCAACGGCUAACUACGUG
rnacentral:rRNA from 1 species